rfam:Nematostella vectensis strain CH2 x CH6 NEMVEscaffold_231_Cont19844, whole genome shotgun sequence.
GCCCGGUUAGCUCAGAUGGUAGAGCAUCAGUCUUUUAAUCUGAGGGUCAUGGGUUCGAGCCCCAUAUCGGGCG